rnacentral:rRNA from 1 species
UGAGGGGGGCUGCUCCUAGUACGAGAGGACCGGAGUGGACGCAUCACUGGUGUUCGGGUUGUCAUGCCAAUGGCACUGCCCGGUAGCUAAAUGCGGAAGAGAUAAAUGCUGAAAGCAUCUAAGCACGAAACUUGCCCCGAGAUGAGUUCUCCCUGACUCCUUGAGAGUCCUGAAGGAACGUUGAAGACGACGACGUUGAUAGGCCGGGUGUGUAAGCGCAGCGAUGCGUUGAGCUAACCGGUACUAAUGAACCGUGAGGCUUAACCUUACAACGCCGAAG